rnacentral:rRNA from 1 species
CAAAACGACUCUCGGCAACGGAUAUCUCGGCUCUCACAUCGAUGAAGAACGUAGCGAAAUGCGAUACGUGGUGUGAAUUGCAGAAUCCCAUGAACCAUCGAGUUUUUGAACGCAAGUUGCGCCCGAAGCCUUCUGGUUGAGGGCACGUCUGCCUGGG